AUGUUGCCCGAUACUCCAAACAAAACACAAACUAACAGAGUUAGUUUAUGCGGUGCUUUAUUCAGGGCCCGGGGAACCUGCGGACUGGCGUCCAAAGUCAGGAUCCCGCAGUUCCCUUUUUCCGUCAGGUUUUUAUACCUUUUUACAAAAGUGGUCUACGUGCAGAAGUACACAUUCUCCAAAACAAUACAGAUACAUAAAUCUUUUCUAAAUGUUCUAUAUGCUCUACUAAUUCUUUUGACUAUUGUUUCACAAGGUAGGUUCUCAGGGCCUGUCCGAAAACUACAGUUUUCUAAGCCUUAGCAUGACUACUACUAUAUCUACAUUAGUCCUUUUUCUCAUUAUUUCGGUAUCACAAAGACACAGGAGCAAUCCCAGAGCUUUUUCUCUGAAAGAACACGAUGUGGCACAGCUGGCCACUGGCAAAGGGAAAAGGCUUUGAGGAAAGUACUGACAUGUUCGUGGAAGUCAUUGAAUAUAAGAAUUAAUUCCUUUCAGAGGCAUCUUUGAGAUACUAUCUUAUAUCAUCUUGUGCAGGUCUGCUUGGGUGUGUAGGGUUUUGUUGUGAGGCAGUUUUUUGUGAUUGUGGGAGAGUUGUGCAGGAUGUUUCUUAUUAAAAAAAACAAACUUGCCAAAUACAUUUAUCGCAUUUCUUACCGCACUAAACUUUCUGCAAAUAGCUUUUCACUUAUACACCAAGACUAAUCACAAAAUCAUGGCCUCAUCCCGAGAUUUUCCUCCAAAAAGAGCUACCACAUUGUGUUUUGGCUACAGAAUAAGUUUUAUGUUUCAUAUUUAUAUUUCUUCUUUUUUAAAAGUGAGCAUCUGGACAAAUGCAGACUUUCUUGAAAUAGGUUUAAUUGAAAGUUCUUUGUUCAGAACAUGUGGAAGGAACGUGAUGACCAUUUUCUCUCCCUCUUUUUCAUUGCUUUCAUGAAUGUUUGCUGCAUUCUCACCCUCACCACAGUCAGCAUCGCUUCAUCUGUCAGAUAUUUGAAUUGAAUGUGUUGCUGUGCUGUAUAAAACUGUACAAAAUUCAUGGUUUUAGUCUUUUUACUCAGCCUGCCUUCUAGUCACUAGAGGGCAAUGUCUCUCUGAAGCACAAACACCGAUCCAGGCUCUUGCUCUUAAAAUCAGCAUCUUGUUUUUAUCAUCGAGCUGAGGCAAAUGAGCUCAGUUAAUUUAAUGCUGAAUUCUGUUGCCAAAAACGAGAGAAGAGAGCAUGGGGGAGCUCUCUAAUAAAUAGCAAGACUUGGGUAAAAAGUCUCAACUCUGGAAGCCACUCUUAGAGCCAGAAUAUGGAUUUAUUGUUUCUGAUGGUCUUGCAGUAAUUCCCAGUAGCCUUUGGUUGGGAAAGCACCAACAAGCAAAGUGCAGGCAGGGUUCUGGGAAGGAGGGAACUUGCAGGAAUAGCCACUGCCUGGCUCCAUUAGGGUCCUGCCCUCUUUCUGUGCAGCUAGGCCAUGACUCCCAUUUGUGCCUACCCUUAAGGCUUCUCUGUCUCCCUCUUUUUUUCUCUCUCCUCCAGGAAAAAAAAAAAUUCUCAGAACAAGUUUUCUGAUGUGGGCCUUGGCCACUUCCUUUGGUGGGAAUGGUCGUUUUUCAAUGCACAUCAACUCUCUUUUAGUUCAUGUGUAUGCAGAGGCCUUUACAGACCAUCUACUCCCCCUCACUUACACUCCAUCUUUAGUUUGAAAUGGUGCCCAGCAAUGUAGUUAGAUCACCUUGCAAACUGUGUUCCCAGUGGGAGCAGGCCUCUCUGAGCAAAGCUGGGACAUGGACAGUGAUAGGCAGGAUAAUUCUGCCUUCCCAUGAAAUAUUUUUCUGCUUACCAUGCUAGGAUUUCUGGUUUUGAGGAGAAACAUAUUUUUUUAUUAUUAUACCCGCACCCCCAACACUCAUCUGAGGGCCUUGCAAUGUCACGUGAGAUAGUGACACAGCAGCCAAUGCUCAAAUCGUGGUAAGAGAUCCCCCUCACCCUAUCAGGCCAACCUGUGCCAUUACUGUAGGAGGCUGUGGUGCCCUUGACCUCCUUGGGAUCUGACUUCUCUGGCUGGAAUAAUAUGCACAAUUUCAAAGGAAACUAAACAGCUCCAGGUAGCAAAUGUGUUUGAGUCUGUUCUGACCCAAACCAUUGUAGCACAAAGAAAUGGACAACAAUUUCGUCAUGCUACAGGUACUUGUCAGUUCUGCUCCAAGCAACAUCUUUGAAUUGAAAGAAAGGAUAGGAUCAGCACCUGGCUUUGAAAGCAUCUCCUGGAUGGGUCAUGAAGAAUGCACAGAUGCUUCCAGAGACCAAGCUAUGGAAAGUACAGAAUAUAUUUUUCACAGGAAAGAUUGUCUGAUUUACCAUUAACAUUUUCACAAAUACAAAUUACAAGGAAAUGCAUUAAGGAAAGAAUCAGAUUGAAAGGCUUUGUAGUAAUCAGAAAAAAUGAAUGGCAUCUUCCUAGGCUCCCCUGGGUGGUAAUAAUUACCAGCUGCACAACUGUGGCUUGUGCCACUUAAAGAUUUCUGGACUAAAAAUCUUGAUAUGUUUUUGUUUCCAUUCUUAGAGAAGCCACUCUUGGAAUCAGGCAGCAACACAGGCCAGCUGCUCUAAGAAGCAUGAACUGAGCCUGCUUCAGCCUGAGAGGGCACCAGUUUACAUGCAGAGUAGCCCAGAUCCUGAUCCCAAGCCGUGGCUCAGUUGCAUCUGGCCCAGCACAUUU
ensembl:lncRNA